GACACAGGGAGGUAGUGACAAGAAAUAACAAUACAGGGCAAUUGUCUUGUAAUUGGAAUGAUGGUGAUCUAAACCCUCACCAGAGUACASAAUUGRAGGGCAAGUCUGGUGCCAGCAGCCGCGGUAAUUCCAGCUCCAAUAGCGUAUAUUAAACUUGUUGCAGUUAAAAAGCUCGUAGUUGAAUUUCUGCGUUAUCAGAUGUUACUUUUUGUACUAUUCUGAUUUCGCUUUUGGUCUUUUGACCUUUUUACUUUGAGAAAAUUAGAGUGUUUCAAGCAGACUUUYGUCUUGAAUACUUCAGCAUGGAAUAAUAGAGUAGGACUUUGGUUCUAUUUUGUUGGUUUUUUGAACCUUAGUAAUGAUUAAUAGGAACGGUUGGGGGCAUUCGUAUUUAACUGUCAGAGGUGAAAUUCUUAG
rnacentral:rRNA from 1 species